rnacentral:rRNA from 1 species
GUAUGAAUGUUUAAUAUAAUAUUUAUUUAUUAAAAAAUAUAUUAUGAACUAAACUUAAAAGUAAAAAUACUUUUAUAUUUUUUACCACGAAAAGUCCCUAAAAUUUAUAUUCUUUACUAGGAUAUUAACUAAAGAUAAAUUUUAAACUUUUUUAUAGUACAAAUACUUUAGGGAUAACAGAGUAGUAUUAAAUUUUAAGAUUAUAUUAAAAUUUUAGGCGCGACCUCGAUGUUGAAUUAAUAAUUAUUAUUUAUAGAAAAAUUUUUUACUUAGUUUGUUCAACUAAUAAAUAAUA